rnacentral:rRNA from 1 species
AGGAUGAACGCUGGCGGCGUGCUUAACACAUGCAAGUCGAACGAUGAAGCCGGAGCUUGCUCUGGUGGAUUAGUGGCGAACGGGUGAGUAACACGUGAGUAACCUGCCCUUGACUCUGGGAUAAGCGUUGGAAACGCGUCUAAUACCGGAUACGACGCGCGAAGGCAUCUUCUGCGCGUGGAAAAGAAUUUCGGCAAGGAUGGACUCGCGGCCUAUCAGCUAGUUGGUGAGGUACGCCACAAGGCGACGACGGUAGCCGGCUGGAGAGGGUCGACCGGCCACGACGUGGGACUCGGAGACACCGGACCCAGACCGUCCGACGGGAGGCAGCAGGUAGGGGAAUAGUUGCAACAAGUCGGGACG